rnacentral:misc_RNA from 1 species
UCCGGUUUGUCACCGGCAGUCACCUUAGAGUGCCCAGCGCGACCUGCUGGCAACUAAGAUCAAGGGUUGCGCUCGUUGCGGGACUUAACCCAACAUCUCACGACACGAGCUGACGACAACCAUGCACCACCUGUCUCCCUUGUCCCCGAAAGGCCUACACUGUCUCCAAUGUAUUCAAGGGGAUGUCAAGACCUGGUAAGGUUCUUCGCGUUGCUUCGAAUUAAACCACAUACUCCACUGCUUGUGCGGGUCCCCGUCAAUUCCUUUGAGUUUUAAUCUUGCGAUCGUACUCCCCAGGCGGAAUGCUUAAUGCGUUAGCUGCGCCACCGAAGAGCAUGCUCUCCAACGGCUGGCAUUCAUCGUUUACGGCGUGGACUAC